UUACAUAUGUGUCCAUUCCCCACCCUCCACCUACCCACUGGAUUCUUUUUUACAGAUCAGUUUUUAAAGCCUUAGUAACUGUAAAAAGAUCUAAAUUUGUAUAUCUAUUUCCCAUUAGGCAAAGCUAUCUGAAAAUAGAAAAAGAGGAAGAGACUGCAAAAUCUACCAAACAAAUAUGAAGAAACUGUUUUUGAAAGUAAUUUAGGGAGAUAAAGAGCACACUUAGAAAACAUGGGCAUGACACACACACAGCAGUAAACUCAUAUCCACCUGAAUGGGCUUUGAGCAGGAGUUUGGCAUUCUCAACCUGGGAUUCAUGUUGGCCUGAGAUUGGUGGCAUGUUACUGUACACUUCUGACAAGGUUAGCAGGAUGUUCCAGAUUUUCCUUAGUUUGACAACAAAACUUUUACGCUUACAGAAGAAGUGAGAUUUUAGAAGGGCCUUCUUCGGACACCCAACACUAUGCAGGACACAGAUUUUCCAUACAUAAAGUUCACUUUGCUAACUCUCAAUAUAUGAAGCCAUAAUAAAGCCACAUUUCGUACUGAGCCACAAUUUACCUAGCCAUAAUGGAUUGGAGUGGUGCCUUAUGGAUUAUCCAUAUUAUCUAUGAUAUCUCCAUUCUAAAUGAAAUGCGUGACAGAAGUGGAGAGAGAAUGCAGAGUACGGAAGCAUAGCACUCAGUAAGCCUGCAGGAGAGGUAAGCAGAACCAUCAAAUAUAGUUUGUAGGAGUUCUCCUGCUAUUUAAUGAUUUUGAAGUUUUUUUAGGCCUGCAGGUCAACAUCCCAAGAAGAUGUCGGAGCAACUAAGAAGGAAGAUCAAGAACCUGGAAGAUAGGGAGAGACAGGUUCUCUGGAAGGGAAAGCUGGAAAUGAAGCAGGUUAAGAGCUUCACCUGUCACAAAAGAAUUACACUUGCAAUAAGGCAGAUGUCAAAAAGACAGUAUUAGCUCAGAAGACUUCAAAACAGGUGUUUGGAAGAAGGAGAGAAUAUCAUUCAUAACCUAAACUGAAAAUAUUCAACAUAAACAGCAACUUACUUGCAUCAAGACUAUAUUAAGGCUUGACAAAUUCACCUGUCUGGUGCUUCAUGCAGCUGAUUUAUCUGCCUGGACAGGUGGAAAACUGCCUAGACUUAUCCGUGAGUAAAGUGGAGUUGUUAGUGCAGUGUCAUUGAGGAAGUGCUUUCUCUCACUGCAACAGUCGGAGUAAGCAUGUUACAGUGCUACAAAUUAGCAGACAGUUUUAAAACAGUUCCCAAGCAUUGAAAUUAGAAGUGCUUAAUGCAGAAUUCAUAUUUUCUAGCUCAGUCACAACGGGACUCUGGUGAAUUUAAUUUUUAUUGCUUUCAUGUUGUAACAGUCAUUUGUCUUUUGGAGGCAAUCAUGGGAGCAGCAUUACAGCAGGACAUAUGAAGAUUCUUGUUUGCAUCUUGUAAUCCUGAUGAUAUUAAUUCUUUACUACAAGCAAAUGCCACCUGGAAAAUAAAAUUCUGUUCUUACA